AGAGUUUGAUCCUGGCUCAGGAUGAACGCUAGCGGCAGGCCUAAUACAUGCAAGUCGAACGAGACUUAGUAGCAAUACUAAGUUUAGUGGCGCACGGGUGCGUAACACGUAUGCAAUCUACCCUUUACUUAGGAAUAGCCCGGAGAAAUUCGGAUUAAUACCUAAUAAUAAGUUUGUGUGGCAUCACAUGGAUUUUAAAGAUUUAUCGGUAAAGGAUGAGCAUGCGGAUGAUUAGCUAGUUGGUGAGGUAAUGGCUCACCAAGGCGACGAUCAAUAGGGGUUCUGAGAGGAAGAUCCCCCACACUGGCACUGAGAUACGGGCCAGACUCCUACGGGAGGCAGCAGUAGGGAAUAUUGGGCAAUGGUCGCGAGACUGACCCAGCCAUGCCGCGUGAAGGAAGAAGGCUUUCUGAGUUGUAAACUUCUUUUAUCUGGGAAUAAAAUACCCUUGCGAGGGGAACUGAAGGUACCAGAUGAAUAAGCACCGGCUAACUCCGUGCCAGCAGCCGCGGUAAUACGGAGGGUGCAAGCGUUGUCCGGAUUUAUUGGGUUUAAAGGGUGCGUAGGUGGCUUAUUAAGUCAGUGUUUAAAGUCUGCAGCUCAACUGUAGGAAUGGCAUUGAUACUGAUGAGCUUGAGUAAAGUUGAGGUAGACAGAAUUGAUGGUGUAGCGGUGAAAUGCAUAGAUAUCAUCAAGAAUACCGAUUGCGAAGGCAGUUUACUAAGCUUUAACUGACACUGAGGCACGAAAGUGUGGGGAUCAAACAGGAUUAGAUACCCUAGUAGUCC
rnacentral:rRNA from 1 species